AGCGUAGACGGUGUGGCAAGUCUGAUGUGAAAGGCAUGGGCUCAACCUGUGGACUGCAUUGGAAACUGUCAUACUUGAGUGCCGGAGGGGUAAGCGGAAUUCCUAGUGUAGCGGUGAAAUGCGUAGAUAUCGGGAGGAACACCAGUGGCGAAGGCGGCCUACUGGGCACCAACUGACGCUGAGGCUGAAAGUGUGGGUAGCAAACA
rnacentral:rRNA from 1 species